AAGCGUUGGAUUGUUCACCCACUAAUAGGGAACGGAGCUGGUUUUAGACCGUCGUGAGAGGGUUUAGUUUUACCCUACUGAUGAUGUGUUGUUGCGCUAGUAAUCCUCAGUACGAGAGGAAACCGCAGGUUCAGACAUUUGGUGUAUGUGCUUGGCUGAGGAGCCACUGGAGCGAGGCUACCAUCUGUGGGAUUAUGACUGAACGCCUCUAAGUCAGAAUCCCCCCUAAACGUAGCGAUACCGCAGCGCCGAGGCGCCUCGGUGGGCUCGCGAUAGCCGGCCGCCGCCCCCUCGGGCGGGCGGUCGGUGCGGAGCGCCGCUCGUGGUCGGGACCGGAGCGCGGACAGAUGUGGCGCCGCCUCUCCCCCGCCGCGUACCGCAUGUUCGUGGGGAACCCGGUGCUAAAUCAUUCGUAGACGACCUGAUUCUGGGUCGGGGUUUCGUACGUAGCAGAGCAGCUCCCUCGCUGCGAUCUAUUGAGAGUCAGCCCUCGACACAAGCUUUUGU
rfam:Gallus gallus breed Red Jungle fowl, inbred line TCD001 Contig19593.1, whole genome shotgun sequence. [11-NOV-2016]